rnacentral:rRNA from 1 species
CAAUAGCGUAUAUUAAAGUUGUUGCGGUUAAAAAGCUCGUAGUUGGAGUUCUGCCAGGUGCCGCCUGUCCGCCCCAGUGGUGAGUACGUGGCGCGCAUUUGGCCCUUUCAAGGGGAGCGUAUCUGCACUUUAUUGUGUGGUGCGGGAUCCUUGACUUUUACUUUGAGGAAAUAGGAGUGUUCCAAGCAGGCUCUCGUCGUGCACAGCUCAGCAUGGAAUAAUAGCAUUGGACCUCGAUUCUAAGCUGUUGGUUGCCAGAAGCGAGGUAAUGAUGAAGAGGGAUAGUUGGGGGCAUUCGUAUUUAACUGUCAGAGGUGAAAUUCUUGGAUUUGUUACAGACGGACUACUGCGAAAGCAUCUGCCAUGGAUGUUUUCAUUGA